ACCUGACUGGCUCAGCUGGUAGAGCAUGGGACUCUUGACCUCAGCGUUGUGAGUUUGAGCCCCAUGUUGGGCG
rnacentral:tRNA from 1 species